UGGAGGCAGCAGUAAGGAAUCUUGCACAAUGGCCGAAAGGCUGAUGCAGCGACGCCGCGUGAGUGAUGAAGCCCUUCGGGGUGUAAAGCUCUUUCGGCGGGGACGAUUAUGACGGUACCCGCAGAAGAAGCCCCGGCAAACUACGUGCCAGCAGCCGCGGUAAUACGUAGGGGGCCAGCGUUGUUCGGAAUUACUGGGCGUAAAGGGCGCGUAGGCGGUGCGAUUAGUCCGGUGUUAAAUCUCCCGGCUUAACUGGGAGGGGUCGCUCGAAACGGUCGUGCUUGAGUAUGGGAGAGGGAAGUGGAAUUCCCGGUGUAGCGGUGAAAUGCGCAGAUAUCGGGAGGAACACCAGUGGCGAAGGCGGCUUCCUGGACCAUAACUGACGCUGAUGCGCGAAAGCCGGGGGAGCAAACAGGAUUAGAUACCCGCGUAGUCCC
rnacentral:rRNA from 1 species